rnacentral:rRNA from 1 species
AGUGAACGCUGGCGGUAGGCCUAACACAUGCAAGUCGAACGGCAGCACAGUAAGAGCUUGCUCUUACGGGUGGCGAGUGGCGGACGGGUGAGGAAUACAUCGGAAUCUACUUUUUCGUGGGGGAUAACGUAGGGAAACUUACGCUAAUACCGCAUACGACCUACGGGUGAAAGCAGGGGAUCUUCGGACCUUGCGCGAUUGAAUGAGCCGAUGUCGGAUUAGCUAGUAGGCGGGGUAAAGGCCCACCAAGGCGACGAUCCGUAGCUGGUCUGAGAGGAUGAUCAGCCACACUGGAACUGAGGCACGGUCCAGACUCCUACGGGAGGCAGCAGUGGGGAAUAUUGGACAAUGGGCGCAAGCCUGAUCCAGCCAUACCGCGUGGGUGAAGAAGGCCUUCGGGUUGUAAAGCCCUUUUGUUGGGAAAGAAAAGAAGCAGGUUAAUACCCCGCUGUUCUGACGGUACCCAAAGAAUAAGCACCGGCUAACUUCGUG